rnacentral:rRNA from 1 species
UACAGAGACUGCAAGCGUUAUUCGGAAUCACUGGGCUUAAAGGGUGCGUAGGCGGUUAUCUAAGUCAGGUGUGAAAUCUCUCGGCUCAACCGGGAACUGCGCUUGAAACUGGAUGACUGGAGUGAUGCAGGGGUGUGUGGAACUUCCGGUGGAGCGGUGAAAUGUGUAGAUAUCGGAAGGAACGCCAGCAGCGAAAGCGGCACACUGGGCAUUUCUGACGCUGAGGCACGAAAGCUAGGGAGUGAACGGG